UUUCUGUGGUGAUUAUGGCAUGAUUGAUGAGUCGAUCUACUUCAGUAGUGAUGUUGUGACUGGCAACGUGCCUCUAAAAGUUGGACAAAAAGUUAAUGUGGUUGUGGAGGAAGAUAAAAUACUUUAUGGAUUGAGAGCUAUCAAGAGGUGGAUGUUGUGCCUCGCCAUCUUUAUGGUGCUGGACCCUCAGACUCAGGAACCAGAGUUUUAAUUGGAUGUGUUACUUCUAUAUGUGAAGACAUUAUUUAUAUUAGUAACUGCAUUUAUUUCUUCAUAGACAUUGUUUCUGAAGAUUUUGUGCCUUAUAAAGGUAACUGGUUAAAAGUUGAAUAUUCCACUGAACCAGGCUUCUCAAACUUCAAGGCAAGCUCUGUGAAGUCCACCCAUUGCAUUCAUGCGGAAGCGGUCUGCAUUACUAGCGUACAUGGAAGAAAUGGGGUGAUAGAUUAUACUAUUUUUUUCACCUUGGAUUCUGUGAAACUUCCUGAUGGAUACGUACCUCAAGUAGAUGAUAUCGUCAAUGUGGUCAUGGUGGAGAGCAUUCAGUUCUGCUUUAUUUGGAGAGCGAUUUCUAUCACCCCAGUGCAUAAAUCGUAA
rnacentral:lncRNA from 1 species